rnacentral:pre_miRNA from 14 species
GACAGCCAGUUAAAUUUGAAUUUUAGAUAGUCAAUGAAGAAUGUUUUAGUGUAAGUAUAUCCCAUGCAACAUUUGGGACAUACUUAUGCUAAAACAUUGUUUGUUGUUUAUCUGAAAUUCAAAUUUAACUGGGUGUCCUGUA